rnacentral:rRNA from 1 species
GGUGAUGGCGUGCCUUUUGUAGAAUGAACCGGCGAGUUACGUUUGCGUGCAAGGUUAAGGUGAAAAGCCGCAGCCGAAGCGAAAGCGAGUCUGAAUAGGGCGAGUAAGUACGUAGACGUAGACCCGAAACCGUGUGAUCUACCCCUGUCCAGGGUGAAGGUGCGGUAACACGCACUGGAGGCCCGAACCCACGUACGUUGAAAAGUGCGGGGAUGAGGUGGGGGUAGCGGAGAAAUUCCAAUCGAACUCGGAGAUAGCUGGUUCUCCCCGAAAUAGCUUUAGGGCUAGCCUCGGAUGAUGAGUCGUGGAGGUAGAGCACUGAUUGGAUGCGGGGCCCGCCAAGGGUUACCAAGUUCAGUCAAACUCCGAAUGCCACAGACUUUAAUCCGGGAGUCAGACAGUGGGUGCUAAGGUCCAUUGUCAAGAGGGAAACAGCCCAGACCAUCAGCUAAGGUCCCAAAGUGUGUGUUAAGUGGGAAAGGAUGUGGAGUUGCUUAGACAACCAGGAUGUUGGCUUAGAAGCAGCCAUCAUUUAAAGAGUGCGUAAUAGCUCACUGGUCGAGUGACUCUGCGCCGAAAAUGUAACGGGGCUAAACACACCACCGAAGCUAUGGCUUGAUACUAUGUAUCAGGGGUAGGGGAGCGUUGUGUACCGGGUUGAAGGUAGACCGGAAGGACUGCUGGACUGUACACAAGUGAGAAUGCCGGUAUGAGUAACGAAAAGACAUGUGAGAAUCAUGUCCGCCGAAAGCCUAAGGGUUCCUGAGGAAGGUUCGUCCGCUCAGGGUAAGUCGGGACCUAAGGCGAGGCCGAAAGGCGUAGUCGAAGGACAACAGGUUGAAAUUCCUGUACCACCGUAAACCGUUAUGAGCAAUGGGGUGACGCAGAAGGAUAGGGACGCGAGCUGAUGGAUGCUCGUCCAAGCAGUGAGGCUGGUCAAUAGGCAAAUCCGUUGACCGUUAAAGCUGGGCUGUGAUGGGGAGGGAAAAUUAUAGUACCGAAGGUCUUGAUUUCAGGCUGCCAAGAAAAGCCUCUAGCCAGGUGAAGGUGCCCGUACCGCAAACCGACACAGGUAGGCGAGAUGAGUAUUCUAAGGCGCGCGGAAGAACUCUCGUUAAGGAACUCGGCAAAAUGACCCCGUAACUUCGGGAGAAGGGGUGCCUCGGUAGGGUGAAUAGCCCGAGGGGGCCGCAGUGAAAAGGCCCAAGCGACUGUUUAGCAAAAACACAGGUCUGUGCGAAGCCGCAAGGCGAAGUAUACGGGCUGACGCCUGCCCGGUGCUGGAAGGUUAAGGGGAGUGGUUAGCCGCAAGGCGAAGCUAUGAACCGAAGCCCCAGUAAACGGCGGCCGUAACUAUAACGGUCCUAAGGUAGCGAAAUUCCUUGUCAGGUAAAUUCUGACCCGCACGAAUGGCGUAACGACUUGGGCGCUGUCUCAACGAGAGAUCCGGUGAAAUUUUAAUACCUGUGAAGAUGCAGGUUACCCGCGACAAGACGGAAAGACCCCAUGGAGCUUUACUGUAGCUUGAUAUUGGACUUUGGUACGGACUGUACAGGAUAGGUGGGAGCCUUUGAAGCAGGAGCGCAAGCUUCUGUGGAGGCGCCGUUGGGAUACCACCCUGUUCGUAUCGGAGUUCUAACCUAGGACCGUGACCCGGUUCGGGGACAGUGUCAGGUGGACAGUUUGACUGGGGCGGUCGCCUCCUAAAGAGUAACGGAGGCGCCCCAAGGUUCCCUCAGAAUGGUUGGAAAUCAUUCGAAGAGUGCAAAGGCAUAAGGGAGCUUGACUGCGAGACCUACAAGUCGAGCAGGGACGAAAGUCGGGCUUAGUGAUCCGGUGGUACCGCAUGGAAGGGCCAUCGCUCAACGGAUAAAAGCUACCCUGGGGAUAACAGGCUUAUCUCCCCCAAGAGUCCACAUCGACGGGGAGGUUUGGCACCUCGAUGUCGGCUCAUCGCAUCCUGGGGCUGAAGUAGGUCCCAAGGGUUGGGCUGUUCGCCCAUUAAAGCGGUACGCGAGCUGGGUUCAGAACGUCGUGAGACAGUUCGGUCCCUAUCUGUCGCGGGCGUAGGAAAUUUGAGAGGAGCUGUCCUUAGUACGAGAGGACCGGGAUGGACGUACCGCUGGUGCACCAGUUGUUUCGCCAGAAGCAUAGCUGGGUAGCUAAGUACGGAAGGGAUAAGCGCUGAAAGCAUCUAAGCGUGAAGCCCCCCUCAAGAUGAGAUUUC